rfam:Onchocerca ochengi, WGS project CAWC01000000 data, contig: 00163_315
UUCAGGAUGUACAACCUGGUCGAUGUAGUAAAAAUCAUUCUCAUCACCGGGUGCACAUUCGGUCA